ACCACAACACCAUUAUACUAGGCCUUAGGCAGGAUCUUGCUAGUGCCAACAAGAAGAUUAAGGAAUUAGAGCGCCGCUAAGUUAUCUAGAUUAGACCUUGAAGCAAUGCAUCUUAGUUAUCUAUCUUUAAAUUCGGUUUAGGUUUACUAUUAUCAUCGGUUUAUUAUCAUCGGUUUGCUAUCAGUUUGCUAUUAGUCUUUUGUAAUAAAUGUCUCAAGAUUAAUAAAGUGUAUUAUUAUUAUUAUGUCUUGUGUGUCUCUACUUUAUUUUUGUUCAAGAAAGCAGAAAACAAGUAUGGGGGAGAUCCCUCGACCUGCUAAACACAAUCCGACUACACCACUCCACGAUUCAGGUACACACUCUGCACACUUUACACGUACACAUAUCUUGGAUUAUGCAGAAUAUUGUUUCCGACAUGAUAAAUUAAAAAGAUUAAAAUAUUUCUAAUCAUGGUUAAUCUCAAUCUGUGAUAUUUCAUGAAAACUUGCAACUAUUAUAAAAUCAUUUUAAGACCUGUGUUACUUAAGUCAAUAUGGAAUAUGUGAUGGUAGAGUAUGAGUUUCUUAUUCUUGAUAUCAUUGUUACUUGGAGAAUUUAUUUCAAAAUAUUCAAAAUUCUAGCUACCAUCCUUAGUGUUUUAUAUGCCUAAUAAAACUGAAAAUAUUAAUUAUGAUUAUAAAAGCUAUCUACUCUGUAUUGAGUUUGUUCAAAAUGAGUUAGACCCUUGUUGAGAGAUUUAUCAUGCUCCUAAGAUCAAAACAUUUAUUCAGAAAGAUUCACUGUUCCGAAGUAUUAUUGCAUUAGAGGCAUGGGCUAUGCAAAAAUAAAGAUAUUUCGAGGAAAUAAAAAGGAGCAAGUGCUCGACAACCUCGUAGGAAAAAUGGACAAGUGUCCGGCAGUAGAAUUAGGGGUACCUCGGUAUUCACUUAAAAAAAAGAAAAAAGAAAAAAAAUGAUAGCCCAUGGUCCCUCUAAUAAGUAAUAUGCCAGCAAGAGUUGACAAAGGUUUUUAAUUUUCAAAGUCUUUGAUCUAAAAGUAUGACAUUUCCCUCCUCGGAUCCCGUUUUGAUCAGGCAAUAAAUGCAAAGUAAGUAUGCUUGAGAAUUUUUGCAAAUUAAAACAACCUUAGUGAGAUAUAUAAAAGAUAAUGAGUGAUCUGAGAAGAACCUAUGAGGAUAAAAAGGUAUGCUAACUUUCUUUCAAAAAUAUACAAAAACUCCAAGUGACAGGAUUGAGAAGAAAGGAUCUUUACUCUUAACCAUAAACUCUCCUGACUAUGGUACACAGUGGACUUUUAACACCCUGCAGUUAUAAAAAGAAUGUUUUAAAAUGUUUACCCCAGAUAUUGUUCUUAACCAUCCUUUUCUCGAGGAUGAGUAAAAGCCUAAGUAUGGGGGUAUUUGUUGACGGUUCUUAAGUAUUAAUUUUAAUUAUCAAAUAAACAAGAGAAAGGACCAAUAUGCAAACAACACCUAGAAUUAGGGUUUGAUCUGACAGAAUUCCACGAGUUUUGUUGUUUAUCUGUUUCUGUAGGGGGUUAUCAGGAAAUAAGGAAGAAAGGCCCACAUGUCAGGAUUACAUAGAGAUAUCAACGCACCGCGCGAUUUUCUACCAUCUAGAAGACUCCAGAAGCCACGGGAAGAAGACAGAGGCCGAAAGGGGCCAGGCCCAGGGCGCCCGCCCUGGUGACCUGGGCGCCCGCCCCCUGCUGGAUCCUGUUUAGGACUCUCUUCGCACGGGAUGUUCCACCGACCUAUUGGAUCAAGGAAAACAUUGUACCACCUCGCCUACCGACCCAAAAACGCAUAGAGGAGGAGGACUAUAUAAGGAGACCCCCCUGGCCCCUGGAGAAGACAAGAAAUUAUCAUAGAGAUUGAGGGGUGCCAUCGAAGGAAAACCUCUUCUCUAAUUAAUAUUUCUUUUUAGGCUUAGCAACCAAUGUAAAAGUAGAAAUAGAUCUUCUAGUUUCUAUUAGAUUGAGAGAGAUAGAGUGGAGGUGUAGAUUGGAGGAAGCCCGGCCUGUCGGUGUCUACUCCAAGCUUGUACCUGCGG
rnacentral:lncRNA from 1 species